rnacentral:rRNA from 1 species
AUUGAACGCUGGCGGCAUGCUUUACACAUGCCAGUCGAACGGCAGCGCGGGCUUCGGCCUGGCGGCGAGUGGCGAACGGGUGAGUAAUGCAUCGGAACGUGCCCAGUAGUGGGGGAUAGCCCGGCGAAAGCCGGAUUAAUACCGCAUACGACCUGAGGGUGAAAGCGGGGGACCGAAAGGCCUCGCGCUAUUGGAGCGGCCGAUGUCGGAUUAGCUAGUUGGUGGGGUAAAGGCUUACCAAGGCGACGAUCCGUAGCUGGUCUGAGAGGACGACCAGCCACACUGGGACUGAGACACGGCCCAGACUCCUACGGGAGGCAGCAGUGGGGAAUUUUGGACAAUGGGGGCAACCCUGAUCCAGCCAUGCCGCGUGCGGGAAGAAGGCCUUCGGGUUGUAAACCGCUUUUGUUCGGGAAGAAAUCCUCUGGGCUAAUACCCCAGGGGGAUGACGGUACCGGAAGAAUAAGCACCGGCUAACUACGUG